UUAGUUAGUUGGUGGGGUAAAGGCCUACCAAGACUAUGAUGUGUAGCCGGGCUGAGAGGUUGAACGGCCACAUUGGGACUGAGACACGGCCCAAACUCCUACGGGAGGCAGCAGUAGGGAAUUUUCGGCAAUGGAGGAAACUCUGACCGAGCAACGCCGCGUGAACGAUGAAGUAUUUCGGUACGUAAAGUUCUUUUAUUAGGGAAGAAUAAAUGAUGGAAAAAUCAUUCUGACGGUACCUAAUGAAUAAGCCCCGGCUAACUAUGUGCCAGCAGCCGCGGUAAUACAUAGGGGGCAAGCGUUAUCCGGAAUUAUUGGGCGUAAAGGGUGCGUAGGCGGUUAAAUAAGUUUAUGGUCUAAGUGCAAUGCUCAACAUUGUGAUGCUAUAAAAACUGUUUAGCUAGAGUAAGAUAGAGGCAAGUGGAAUUCCAUGUGUAGUGGUAAAAUGCGUAAAUAUAUGGAGGAACACCAGUGGCGAAGGCGGCUUGCUGGGUCUUUACUGACGCUGAGGCACGAAAGCGUGGGGAGCAAACAGGAUUAGAUACCCUGGUAGUCCACGCCGUAAACGAUGAGUACUAAACGUUGGGUAAAACCAGUGUUGAAGUUAACACAUUAAGUACUCCGCCUGAGUAGUACGUACGCAAGUAUGAAACUUAAAGGAAUUGACGGGACUCCGCACAAGCGGUGGAUCAUGUUGUUUAAUUCGAAGGUACCCGAAAAACCUCACCAGGUCUUGACAUGCUUCUGCAAAGCUGUAGAAACACAGUGGAGGUUAUCAGUUGCACAGGUGGUGCAUGGUUGUCGUCAGCUCGUGUCGUGAGAUGUUGGGUUAAGUCCCGCAACGAGCGCAACCCUUAUUGUUAGUUACCAGCACGUAAUGGUGGGGACUUUAGCAAGACUGCCAGUGAUAAAUUGGAGGAAGGUGGGGACGACGUCAAAUCAUCAUGCCCCUUAUGACCUGGGCUACAAACGUGAUACAAUGGCUGUUACAAAGGGUAGCUGAAGCGCA
rnacentral:rRNA from 1 species